UUUCUGUGGGGACUUGUUGAUCCACUUGAGGAUCUUCCAUAGUGGGUUUGGAUCAUUAUAGAAUUUAUUUUUAAUAAAUUCUACAUCCCUAGUUUCAACAAUUGUAUUAGACACUAAGUCUAAUAUCCUAUAUGCCUUUUAAUUUUGGGCAUAUCCCAUAAAGAUGCCUUUUACAGCUCUUGGCCCUAACUUAGUUCUC
rnacentral:lncRNA from 1 species